CCCGCCUUAGCUCAGAGGUAGAGCGUGGGACUGUAGUCCGCCACUCCGCGGCAGGCGGAGAUCCCAUGGUCCCCGGUUCAAAUCCGGGAGGCGGGA
rnacentral:tRNA from 1 species